rnacentral:lncRNA from 1 species
UCUUGGGCCACUCCCAUGACAUAUGGAGGUUCCCAGGCUACGGGUCGAAUUGGAGAUGUAGCCGCCAGCCUACGCCACAGCCAUAGCAACUUGGGAUCCGAGCUGCGUCUGCAACCUACACCACAGCUCAUGGCAAUGCCAGACCCUUAACCCACUGAGCAAGGCCAGGGAUCGAACCUGCAACCUCACAGUUCCUAGUCGGAUUCGUUAACCACUGCGCCACUACGGGAACUCCUUAAUCUUCUCUUCUUACAAAGACAUCUGUCAUAUUGGACUAGGACCCACCCAUAUAUCUGACCUUAUUUUAUCAUUCUUAGCUGUUCAAAGACACUAUCUCUGGAGUGAAGUUAAGGAUCUGGCACUGUCACUGCAGCAGCUCAGGGAUGCUGCUAUGGCAUGGAUUUGUUCCUGGUCCACAAACUUCCACAUGCCAUGGGUGUGGUCAAAAAAUAAUAAUAAAGACCCUGUCUCCAAAUACAGCUAUAUUCUGAGGCACUGUGCAUUAGGACUUCAAAAUGUGAAUUGAGAGGGGACACUAUUCAGCCCAUAACAAUUAUAUUUCAUUCUAAGGGAAUAUUAUCAACCAAGUGAGGAAUGCUAAAUGUCUUAAAAUCUCUGCUUCCUCACUUCUCUACAAGCUGCUUGUCAUUUUAUGGGGUUAUUAAUAUCUCCACCAGCCAUCUAGUUGAUGCUAGGAGGAUGUAACUCAAAAUCAUUUUAUUAUUUACUCAGAUACGUUUUCUUCCUCAUUUAUAAGUAUUGUAAAGUUAAUACAAGUGAGAAAAAAAUUUGUCUGGUAUUUCACCAACCGUAAUGAAGUAUACUCUAACAUUUAUAAUUGCUAGUUCAGUUAAGUACUAUGUAAGAAUUCACAGGUGAUAUUGUUAUAAAAUAAUGAACCAGAUGGAAACGUUUGCCUCAUUACUUCUUGGUUAUUUCCCAUAAAGUUAAUACUUCACUACCUGAAUGGUUUGGAAGAGAACAACUCUUCCUUUGCUGAAUCAGGGAAUCUGAUUAUCACACAUCAUUAAUCUAAUGACAAAGAGCCUUUUUUAAAAAAAUGAGUAGGUCAAACAGUCUUAGUGAGAUCAACUUUUAAUGCUGUACCCAUUAUUUUCACGACACGUAUAUUUUUAAAAUGCCUUCAAAUUUACAGAGCAUUUUCCCAUAGUUUUCCAAAAAAUUUUCACAAGUAUAAAUUAAAUGUGUUCUCAUUCUCAUUUACAGACAAGGAAACUGAGGCUCAGAGGUUUUUUUGUGUGACAUGUCCAGGGAUAUAGUUAAUAAAUAGCACAGCUAGGACUAGAACUGUCUGAUUCUAACCCAGAGCUGACCUAUUUUUUAAUAUCCAUACUAAUGUCAAUUUCUAAAUGAUCUCUCCCAAAAUAUGCCUUCAUGAGAAAAGGAUUUCACGGUCAAAUACAUUUGGAGAAAACUGUCUGCUAAAUUCCUCAUUGGUAGAAUCACAGACUUGUUACUUUUAAAGGCUGUGAGGACUACUGAAUUAAUGAAGUCCAUUUAACAUUGUUUAAUCUAAACUUAUUCCCAGGUUUAAUUAAUCAUUGAAAUUUUUCCCCAUGUAAUUGCUACUAACAUCCAGAGUACCUGCAUUAAUAACUGUUCUAAAUGAACAACUUUUUAUCAACUAUGUUAAAAGGCCUAGGUGCUACAAAAGGCCAUAUUUCAGAGGAGAGUUUAGGAAAAUUAGAGCAGGAAAGUGUCCUGAAAAGAACAAAGGAAGUGUUUGCUUUUAUUUUUUAGUUUGUAGCCAAAAGAAUUUGCUACGCUAUAAAUGCCAUAAAAGUAAGAACUACCUCUACACUUUUUAUGAGACAUGUAGUACAAUCCACAAUUAAAAAUAUAUGUUUAACGGAGAAAAAUGACAUGAAUUUCUCAUCAGUACUAAUCAGCCAUAAACAAUUUUUUAUCAGAAAACAGAAAAAAACUAAGCUUAUUUUUCUAUUUGACAAGCGGCAUGGCACUGAGGUGGUAUUCUGAUGUAAAAAGAUCGUUUGGAAAAAAAAAAGCUUUUUAAGGGUCUUUAAGGGACUUCUCAGCAUCAUCACUUAAUGACUUGAUCAAUGCCCCAUGCAGAAUUUUCUUAAAGGGUCACAUUAAUGCAAAUGAUGUACCAGAGGGUCUUCAAAUGUAUUAGAAAAUAUUAAUCUUGCAAUUGAAGAGAAGAAAAAUUGUUUCCUAAUGGUACUUUUUUUUCCUUAAUAAUCAAUUUUCAUUCCUUUCCCCCCUUUUCUAGUCAUUCUCAUUCACUUACUUUAACCAACGUGAAUUCCUUAUUUCAGAACUCUUACAGUAAAAGAAUUUCAAAAGUCAGGCAGAGUGGGUGGAAAUUGAUAGCGUGAUAUAUAAAUUCUUCAGAUGAGUAUUAAUUUAGCAGAUUCUGCUCCUCUCUCCCUCUACCAAAGUGGAACAGAAAGCUGAAAUCUAAAGCGUUUAAUUAUACCACAUUUCAGUCAGUUCACUAGAUUAUAUUCUUAGCUCCAUGAAUUGCCCAUGAGUGAGAACUCUGCUUGUGAUAAAAGGUCAAAAACAAUUUUGAACAAUACAAUUUUUCUCCAAAUAUUUAGUUCUUGCCUGCAUAAUUAUCUACAUGUACACAUGUGUAUACACACACACACACCACAUACAUGGAGUUUAGCAACUUCUCUUUCAAAAAAUAACAUUGUCAUUGGUAAGAGAAUUUGAAAAGCCAGCAGCCAUUGAGAAAAUCUGAAAACAGCUUGGGGACUACCAAAUUAUAGCACACUUGGAUUUAAUCCUAGAGCUUGCUCCCUGUUACCCUUAUCCACAAAUACUAGGAAUUUCAUCUUGCUCUAACUGCAAUGCCAGAUCCAAGACAUGUCUGUGACCUCCACCACAGCUCAUGGCAACACCAAGUCCUUAACCCACUGAGUGAGGCUAAGGACCGAACCCAUAUCCUCAUGGAUACUAGUCGGGUUUGUAACCUGCUGAGCCACAACAGGAACUCUUUACACGCAAGGAAAUAUUUAACGGCUCAUCUGCAGUUUUAGGAGAGUGAAGCAGGAAUGAAAAAUUGGGUCGGUUUCAAUUCAAAUAGAUGUUGUCGUACAUGAGUCUCUUUAAACUAAAAACAGAAAAGCUAGGAAUCUGUUCUGUGCAGUUUUGGCAAUCGACGUU